UUCCAAUGCCCACAAGCUGACGUCACGCCACCGCGGCCGUGAUCUUGCCUAUAAACCCACAAGCCUCCAACGACACCCGAAGGGAACCCUUUCCUCUCCUCUAACGCUCCCCCCGCCAUGCACGCCGCCAUGGCUCAAGAAGGACCCGAGGUCUCGGUCGCAAGCUCGUCGACGGCCGCCCACAGCUGGUGGGAGGUCAACGCCAACCCAUUCUCUUGGAGCACCGUGACCCGGUACUUCCCGCCGCCGGACCGCCGCCCCGACCAGGCAUCGACGUACGACGAAGCCGACAUGUCCAUCUCCAACGCCACCUCCUUCACUAACGCCUCCAGCCACUCCGCCCUCAGCAUCGACUCAUCGUCUGCUGAUCUCUCGGGAGAGCCGGUGGAGAACCACCACAUAUGGAAUCAAGUUCUACUAAACGUGGAAAAUGCUGGAGAGGCCGCGCACAGUGGACAAGACGAUGGAGGAAGCUUUGUUGAGGUGCUGAGUUCAAGGAGGGAGUUGCUCGAACCUGCAUGCGAUGACUCAAAGAGAAGCUACGCCAACUGGGAAUCACAUCCUUCCUCCUUCAACUGGUUGGAGAAGCAUCUAAAUCGCUACAACGGAAGCAUCAUGGAGCAGGAAGGAGCGACGAGUAACCUGUCAGAUCUGGUCAGCAACUGGUCUAUUGCUCCUCCCAAUCCACAUGCCGGUCCAUGCGACGCCUAUAUCUGCCCUCCGAUGGCUAACUACGUGGCCUCCGAUGUCGUCAAGCAUGAGAUUCCAAUAUCACCAUCAUAUCCGAGCCAUGGAAUUGUGGGGGAGAGCAGCACAAGCUAUGCUCCGUCUUGCGAUCAGGAAACCGGAGCUACCACACCAUUCUUUCCCAGGUCGCACAGUCCUGGUAGCACCAGAUACCAGAUGACCUUCUGCAGUGGAAUGGCAGAGGUUCCGUUGUCCUGCCAUAGUAAUUCACGAGCUUCAAAGCCUCAUGCAAAGGGCUUAGAUCUGUGUGAUGGAAACAAGGAAGGAUAUGUAUGUUCAUCAAUGAGAGGAAAUGGUAGGGGCAGCGGAACAACUGAAGGGAAGAAUAAAAGGUCUGAAGACACUUCAGAGACAGUCCUCAAGAAGUCCAAGUACGACAGCUCGAUGGUUUCAUCUGAUAAGCCGCAGGUGCCCAAGGUAAAGGUUGCAGAAAAAAUCAGUGCUCUCCAACAGCUCGUGUCACCAUUUGGGAAGAUCAAGCAUCUGUGCUAAUGGAAACUGUCAAGUGCAUCAGAAGUUUACAGGAUCAAGUACAGUUGCUAAGCGACCCGUACCUGAAGUCAAGUGCCAGUAAGGAUCACAAUUCAUGGGGAGAAUUGCAGAGGAAGGACAAGGCCGAAGCAAAAUAUGAUCUAAGGAGUAGAGGGCUUUGCUUGGUUCCUGUUUCUUCCAUCCCUCAAGUCCACAGAGACAAUAUAAGACCAGAUUACUGGAUGCCAACAUACAGAAGCUGUUUGUAUAGAUAAGCGCAUGGAGAAGCUCUGCAUUAACUCUGUGUUUAACUACAGGAGAAGAGGUUGCUGGUAAACCACCAAUUCUGACAAUAAAUUGGGUAGGUUUUUGAUGGCCGUAGAAGAUUGAGAGAUCUGUAUCCUGUCAAUCCAGUUUGUGACUAUAAUAUGAUGUGUACUUGCAGCAUUCUUGCAUUAUGAACAAAAUAAGCUUAUCAUGAGAAUUCUUGUGGUAAGUUUGUGGAAUUUGCAGACUUCAUGCUCUCUGGAA